rnacentral:rRNA from 1 species
AAUCAACGCUGGCGGCGUGCCUAACACAUGCAAGUCGCGCGCGAAAGGGGGGCAACCCCCGAGUAAAGCGGCGAGCGGGUGAGUAACACGUGGGUAAUCUACCUUCGAGUGGGGAACAACAUCGGGAAACUGGUGCUAAUUCCGCAUGACAUCGUCGGGGCUUCGGUUCCGACGCUCAAAGCUGGGGAUCGUAAGGCCUAGCGCUUGAAGAUGAGCCCGCGUCCGAUUAGCUAGNGGCGGGGUAAUAGCCCACCAAGGCUCCGAUCGGUAGCCGGCCUGAGAGGGCGGACGGCCACACUGGAACUGAGACACGGUCCAGACUCCUACGGGAGGCAGCAGUGGGGAAUUUUUCGCAAUGGGGGCAACCCUGACGAAGCAACGCCGCGUGGGGAUGAAGGUCUUCGGAUUGUAAACCCCUGUCGACCGGGACGAAUGUAGAACGGCCUAAUACGCCGAGCUAUUGACUGUACCGGUGGAGGAAGCCACGGCUAACUCUGU